ACUCAAAGGAAUUGACGGGGGCCCGCACAAGCGGAGGAGCAUGUGGUUUAAUUCGAUGAUACGCGAGGAACCUUACCUGGGCUUGAAAGUUAGUGACCGCUCCUGAAAGGGAGCCUUCCGCAAGGACACGAAACUAGGUGCUGCAUGGCUGUCGUCAGCUCGUGCCGUGAGGUGUUGGGUUAAGUCCCGUAACGAGCGCAACCCCUAUCAUUAGUUGCCAUCAGGUAAAGCUGGGGACUCUAAUGAGACUGCCCGCGCAAGCGGUGAGGAAGGUGGGGAUGACGUCAAGUCAUCACGGCCCUUACGUCCAGGGCUACACACGUGCUACAAUGGUAGAUACAGCAGGUUGCCACAUGGUAACAUGGAGCUAAUCCCAAAAGUCUAUCUCAGUUCGGAUUGAGGUCUGCAACUCGACCUCAUGAAGCUGGAUUCGCUAGUAAUCGGAAAUCAGCAAUGUUCCGGUGAAUACGUUCCCGGGCCUUGUACACACCGCCCGU
rnacentral:rRNA from 1 species